rnacentral:rRNA from 2 species
AUGCAAGUCGAACGAUGAAGUUCCUUCGGGAAUGGAUUAGUGGCGAACGGGUGAGGAACGCGUGAGAAACCUGCCUUUCAUUCUGGGAUAACACCGGGAAACCGGUGCUAAUACCGGAUACUCCAUCUUGGCGGCAUCGCCGAGCUGGGAAAAAAUUUUGAUGAAAGAUGGUCUCGCGGCCUAUCAGCUAGUUGGUGAGGUAAAGGCUCACCAAGGCGACGACGGGUAGCCGGCCUGAGAGGGCGACCGGCCACACUGGGACUGAGACACGGCCCAGACUCC